rnacentral:lncRNA from 1 species
ACCUAGUUUGUAAAAAACAAAAUUUAGUGCUCAUGAAAGACCAUUAAAUAUUUCAUCUGCUCUGUUGCCAUACUGAUUACAGAACAGAGGAUCCCAUCCAAGCUAGCAUAUGCAGGAAAGGAGGAUCUUAUUGUGAGGCUGUGGGGAUGUUCCCUGGAAUCUUAGGAACCAGGACCUAACAAGGCUGAGAGGGACCAGAACUAGGACUGGGUGCUGGUGUCCCUGCACCACGUCAUGUCUCCACACCCUCACCUGGUAUAGAGCAAGUGCCUGCUGCUUGUCCAUGCUGGCUGGUGUCUCACUGCUUCCGAGGUUACAUGCUGUGGUUCUAGGUCCAGACGAUGUCUAAAACACCGAAAGCAAUGGCAACAAAAGCCAAAAUUGACAAAUGGGAUCUAAUUA